GGAGAAAUGUCCUCUGGUCUGAUGAAACAAAAAUAGAACUGUUGGCCAAAUAUCAUCAUAUGUUUGGAGGAAAAAGGGGAGGCUUGCAAGCUGAAGAACAACCAUCCCAAACUGUUGAAGCACGGGGGUGGCAGCAUCAUGUUGUGGGGGUGCUUUGCUGCAGGAGGGACUGGUGCACUUCACUAAAUAGAUGUCAUCAUGAGGAAAAAAAAUUAUGUGGAUAUAUUGAAGCAAUAUCUCAAGACAUCAGUCAGGAAGUUAAAGCUUGGUCGCAAAUUGGUCUUUCAAAUGGACAAUGACCCCCAAGCGUACUUCCAAAGUUGUAGCAAAAUGGCUUAAGGACAACAAAGUCAAGGUAUUGGAGUGGCCAUCACAAAGCCCUGACCUCAAUCCUACCCGAAAACGUUUGACGCAAGUUGAACAAUUUAAAGGCAACGCUACCACAUACUAAUUGAGAGUAUGUAAACUUCUGACCCACUGGGGAUGUGAAAGAAAUAAAAGCUUAAAUAAAUCAUUCUCUCUACUAUUAUUCUGGCAUUUCACAUUCUUACAAUAAAGUGGUGAUCCUAACUGACCUUAGACAGGGAAUUUUUACUAGGAUUAAAUGUCAGGAAUUGUGAAACUGAGUUUUUAAAUGUAUGUAAACUUCCGAAUUCAACUGUACACAAGUGAUAUAUAGUAAUGUGUCUCUCCUUGUCCCUGUAGUUCCUAGUGUGUGUCGGUAUGAUCCUGUGGAACUUYGUAGUGAAGCAGGAGGACAUCUUGGGACAGGUGUUGACAUUCACACUGCUCUAUGGGUCACUCUACAGCACAUAUGUCUGGACUGGUAUGUACCAUGUGUCUGGACUGGUGUCUGGACUGGUAUGUACCAUGUGUCUGGACUGGUAUGUACCGUGUGUCUGGACUGGUAUGUACCGGGUGUCUGGACUGGUAUGUACCACGGGUGUCUGGACUGGUAUGUACCACGGGUGUCUGGACUGGCAUGUACCACGGGUGUCUGGACUGGUAUGUACCACGGGUGUCUGGACYGGUAUGUACCACAUGUGUCUGGACGGGUAUGUACCAUGUGUGCCUGGACUGAUAUGUACCACGUGUGCCUGGAUGGGUAUGUACCACAUGUGCCUGGACUGGUAUGUACCACGUGUGUCUGGACAGGUAUGUACCGUGUGUCUGGACUGGUAUGUACCACGUGUGUCUGGACAGGUAUGUACCGUGUGUCUGUGUCUUGGAUGGGAUGUACCGGUGUCUGGCUGGUAUGUGCAGCGUGUGUGUCGGACUGGUAUGUGCCGCGUGUGUGUCUGGACUGGUAUGUACCGCGUGUGUGUCUGGACUGGUAUGUACCGUGUGUGUCUGGACUGGUAUGUACCGUGUGUGCCUGGUGGUAUGCACCACGUGUGGGUCUGGACUGGUAUGCACCCGGUGUGUGUCUGGACUGGUAUGCACCGUUUGUGCGUGUCUGGACUGGUAUGCACCGUGUGUGUCUGACUGGUAUGUACCAUGUGUCUGGCUGGAUGUACAUGUGUCUGGCUGGUAUGUGCCCGGGCUGGUAUGUACCAUGUGCCCGAGAUGGUAUGUACCUGUGCCCGGGCCGGUAUGUACCAUGUGCCCGGGCGGUAUGUACCGCGGUGUGUGUCUGGACCGGUAUGUACCGGUGUGUGUGUCUGGGACCGGUAUGUACCGCUGUGUGUGUCUGGACCGGUAUGUACCGCAGGUGUGUGUCGGGACCGGUAUGUACCGCGUGUUGUCUGGACCGGUAUGUACCGCGUGUGUGUGUCUGGACCGGUAUGUACGAGCUGUGUGUGUGUCUGGACCGGUAUGUGCCGCGUGUUUGUGUGUGUGUGUCGGAACGGUAUGUGCCCGGUGUGUGUGUCGGGAUCGGUAUGUACGCGUGUGUGGUGGUCUGGACCUAUGUACGCGUGUGUGUCUGGACUCAGAUAUGUUGUACUGUAUCUGUGGAAAACCCUGAGUUGGUUCUGUCUGGGUCUGACUAUAGGUCUCAUUCCUCUCUGUUUGGUUCUGCAAGAGGACAAUUUUCUGAGGAUUCCACCUUGGGUCUUCUGGUCUUUGGCUGGGGGUACGUCUGUGUGUGUGUGUGUGUGUGUGUGUGUGUGUGUGUGUGUGUGUUGUGUGUGUGGUGUGUGUGUGUGUGAGUGAAACAGUGUAAUGUAUGUUUGUGUUCCUCAAACUUAACCUUACAGUGUUGUUCUCUUCCACAGCAACCGUUCCUCAUCCUUGGAGGUCUCGCUCCGGCAGGAGAGAGGAUGCCUGAUACUGUAGACUCUGCCUCUUCUUCGGCAGGGCUCAGGUGAGAGGAUGCCUGUACUGGAGACUCUGCCUUCCUCUAUGGCAGGGCUCAGGAAAGGGGCCACCUGUGAUUUUAGUUUAAGGAAUACAGAUCCACUGUAUAGUUCUCCCUGAGUUGACUACACUUUACACAUCACAUAGAUCUGGAGCCAGUCCUAAAGGUUUUACCAUUUACAGAUCACAUAGUCUGGAGCCUGUCCUAAAGGUUUUACACAUCACAUAGAUCUGGAGCCUGUCCUAAAGGUUUUACACAUCACAUAGAUCUGGGCUGUCCUAAAGGUUUUACACAUCACAUAGAUCUGGAGCCAGUCCUAAAGGUUUACACUCACAUAGUCUGGAGCUGUCCUAAAGGUUUUACAAUCACAUAGAUCUGGAGCCAGUCCUAAAGGUUUUACACAUCACAUAGAUCUGGAGCCAGUCCUAAAGGUUUUACACAUCACUAGAUCUGGAGCCAGUCUAAAUGUUUACCUCUCUCUCUCUCUCUCUGCCUCUCUCUCUCUCUCUCUACUAUCUUUCCCCUCUCUCAUAUCCUCAGUACUGCAGUAGUAGUUCCUGCAGCAUCUUGGUAGUGGUUUCUCUCUGAUGGGUCUCAGCCAGGGCACCAAGGAGAACCGAAACUACCAAGUCCUGGAGAGAGCCUCCAACACAGGUACUUAGAGGACCUGAGGCCCCCUGGACCCAGGAGGACCAGAACUACCAAGUCCUGGAGAGAGCCUCCAACACAGGUACUAUGGGACCUGAGGCCCCCUGGACACAGGAGGACCAGAAUACCAAGCCCUGGAGAGAGCCUCCAACACAGGUACUAUGGAGGCCUGAGGCCCCUGGACACCAGGAGGACCGACCCCACUGGAGCCCUCAGCACAGGACCAGCAACAACAGUGGUAGCUCACUAGACACAUUAUUGUUUGUUGUAGUUCUGUAAACUUGGGUGCAUUGGUUUACUGGGGAUUUGUUGGUUGAACUUCAUAUGUAAAACCUAAAUUGCCAACCUAAAUAUUGUUAAAAAACAUGAGUAGUUUGAUUUAACUCAGAACGGUGUCUGUGUGUUGUUGUUGUGUUCCACCCAGACUGUUGUAGCUGUACCCAGCCCGUGCCCGACAUGAUCAACGACCACCAGGAACCACUCCCACGUCUCUAACAGGUACAAGGAACACAACGUGAAUGACUACAGCUCUG
ensembl:lncRNA